rnacentral:misc_RNA from 1 species
GGAAAAAAAAAGGUUCUGAAUAGCUUUCCACAUCCAACAAAUAAUGGCUCAUGGAGUUCCAUACUUCCAUUAUAAAAAUUGGGAAAUGAUUGCAACAGCAAAUAAAAGACAACUGACGAAAAUUUAUUCAUAAAGGGAAAAGUUCAAAAGAAAUAUCAAGCGGUUAAGUGCCUUGACACUCAAAAGGCAGAGGAUUUUUUUACUGUCUUUUUGGGUACCAUGAGGUUUAUUUUAUAAUGAAUUCACUAUAAUUUGUCAAUAAUGAUGAUAAAAUUAAUAAUUUUGUGGCGUCCAUGUGUCAUAAGAUACCAAUUAAUUUUGAGCAUUAUCCAUAUGAUAACCCUAAAACAUCACAUUCAGGCCAUGUUAGAAAAUAUUUUUCAAUUUAAGAUAACAUUUGUCUAUGGAGAAGAAAAAAAUGUUCCAUGAAUAUUACAAAUAAUAUUAAAAAACCAUUUGGUUUCAUAAAUAACAUUAACCCUGAAUAGUCAUGAUGCGUCCCACAUGGGUUCUGCAGGGAGGUCUUAA